rnacentral:rRNA from 1 species
AUUGAACGCUGGCGGCAGGCCUAACACAUGCAAGUCGAGCGGAUGAAGGGAGCCUGCUCCUGGAUUCAGCGGCGGACGGGUGAGUAAUGCCUAGGAAUCUGCCUGGUAGUGGGGGAUAACGUCCGGAAACGGGCGCUAAUACCGCAUACGUCCUGAGGGAGAAAGUGGGGGAUCUUCGGACCUCACGCUAUCAGAUGAGCCUAGGUCGGAUUAGCUAGUUGGUGGGGUAAAGGCCUACCAAGGCGACGAUCCGUAACUGGUCUGAGAGGAUGAUCAGUCACACUGGAACUGAGACACGGUCCAGACUCCUACGGGAGGCAGCAGUGGGGAAUAUUGGACAAUGGGCGAAAGCCUGAUCCAGCCAUGCCGCGUGUGUGAAGAAGGUCUUCGGAUUGUAAAGCACUUUAAGUUGGGAGGAAGGGCAGUAAGUUAAUGCCUUGCUGUUUUGACGUUACCAACAGAAUAAGCACCGGCUAACUUCGUG